rnacentral:lncRNA from 1 species
GCUAUUUCUGAGUCUGCUGGCACUGCCCUCCUCGGGCUCCUUGCUGGGCCUGACUGAGCCCCAUCUAUGCUGGCUGUGAUCCAGCCAGUCAGGGGCAAAAAUAGGGCUUGAUCUCGGUCUGCCUGAGUCCUGUGUUCUGUGCACUCAGGCACACUGCUUCCCAGGACUAAUAUCUCCCUGCAGAAACGAAAGAUCAUAUGGAUGGCACCUCUCUCAUCUGUCCAUGGCUUCAAGGGCCUGCCUGCGAAGGUUACACACCAUGACCCAGGUUCCUAAUAUCUGCUACCUGGUGAUAUCUACAGAGAUUGUUCAGAUGCAUAGUUUGUGUUGCAAUGAGGUCUUGUGCACAUGGGCCCUUGAGGGAGAGAUCCUGAAUGGAUCCUUGCAAGCGAAAAGGCAUGGGAAUCCCUGGAAGCAUCUCAGCAGAGUUUGCCUGACCCUUCCGGGAGGGCAGUGUCACUCCAGCCACAGAGAAAUUCCUUACUAGCUGACUAUGGAAGAGAGUGUGGGGAAGAUGAAAAAACAUCACAUCGAAAUUCAAUGCAAAGUGAAAGCUUGACUUGAGCAAGGGUGAGUGACUCAGCAAGAAACCUGUCUCCAGGAUUUUAGUUACUGCU